rnacentral:rRNA from 1 species
UGGGGAAUAUUGCACAAUGGGCGCAAGCCUGAUGCAGCCAUGCCGCGUGUGUGAAGAAGGCCUUCGGGUUGUAAAGCACUUUCAGCGAGGAGGAAGGUGGUGAGCUUAAUACGCUCAUCAAUUGACGUUACUCGCAGAAGAAGCACCGGCUAACUCCGUGCCAGCAGCCGCGGUAAUACGGAGGGUGCAAGCGUUAAUCGGAAUUACUGGGCGUAAAGCGCACGCAGGCGGUUUGUUAAGUCAGAUGUGAAAUCCCCGGGCUCAACCUGGGAACUGCAUUUGAAACUGGCAAGCUAGAGUCUCGUAGAGGGGGGUAGAAUUCCAGGUGUAGCGGUGAAAUGCGUAGAGAUCUGGAGGAAUACCGGUGGCGAAGGCGGCCCCCUGGACGAAGACUGACGCUCAGGUGCGAAAGCGUGGGGAGCAAACAGAUUAGAUACCCUGGUAGUCCAGCGCUGUAAAACGAUGUCGAUUUUGGAGGUUGUGCCCUUGAGGCGUGGCUUCCGGAGCUAACGCGUUAAAUCGACCGCCUGGGGAGUACGGCCGCAAGGUUAAAACUCAAAGGAAUUGACGGGGUCAUAGCUGUUUCCU